rnacentral:ribozyme from 14 species
AUAAAAGAGGAGAAUAAAACAAACAAACAAACACAGAAAAAAAACAGAGUCGAGAAAAGGAAUGACUAUUUUCCCUUUUCUUUAUGUUUUUUUUUUUUUUUUUUUUUUUUUUUUUUU